ensembl:lncRNA
UCCCCUAGAACCCUCAGAACCUAAAACACCAAUCAGAGCUGCGCUCAGUUCGUUACCGUGGCAACCAAUUUAGACCAAACUCAGUCAAAGUGGAACGAGUGGAAGAAACGAGUAGAUUUAACAAGAAGAUAAAAGAACCCCAAAGAAGACCCACAACACACAAAACCUGACCGGAGAAAAUGAACAAAUUGAAUUGAACAAAUAAAUUGAAGAUACCCAGAGCAUAAAGAAUUGCAAAUAAUUCAACGGCAACGCAACUCUAAUGGAAUGCUGGCUUCGGUCAAGUUUUUUUGAAUGGACGACAUUUGAUGGCGAGCUACCC